UACAGAGGGGGCAAGCGUUGUUCGGAAUUACUGGGCGUAAAGGGCGCGUAGGCGGCCUUCUAAGUCGAACGUGAAAUCCCCGGCUCAACCCGGGAACUGCGUCCGAUACUGGAAGGCUUGAAUCCGGGAGAGGGAUGUGGAAUUCCAGGUGUAGCGGUGAAAUGCGUAGAUAUCAUUUGGAACGCCAAUGGUGAAAACAGGUAGCUGGGGCUGUGCUGACGCUGAGACACGAAAGCCAGGGGAGCAAACGGG
rnacentral:rRNA from 1 species